rnacentral:rRNA from 1 species
UACGUAGGGUGCAAGCGUUGUCCGGAAUUAUUGGGCGUAAAGAGCUCGUAGGCGGUUUGUCGCGUCUGCUGUGGAAAACUCAGGGCUUAACCCUGAGCCUGCAGUGGGUACGGGCAGACUAGAGUGUGGUAGGGGAGAUCGGAAUUCCUGGUGUAGCGGUGGAAUGCGCAGAUAUCGAGGAGGAACACCGGUGGCGAAGGCGGAUCU